rnacentral:ncRNA from 1 species
GAACUCUGGAGAAUCCCGUUUUCGGGUGCCGAAGGUGCAAGGCUUAAAGCCGAAUCUCUCAGGCCAAAGAACAGAGCCG